GCCGGAGUGGCGGAAUUGGCAGACGCGCUGGAUUCAAAAUCCAGUGCCCGUUUAGGGCGUGUGGGUUCGAGUCCCACCUCCGGUA
rnacentral:tRNA from 1 species